rnacentral:rRNA from 1 species
UACGGAGGGUGCAAACGUUGCUCGGAAUCAUUGGGCGUAAAGCGCACGUAGGCGGCCCAGCAAGUCGGGUGUGAAAGCCCUCGGCUUAACCGAGGAAGUGCAUUCGAAACUACUGAGCUUGAAUACUGGAGAGGAUCGCGGAAUUCCUGGUGUAGCGGUGAAAUGCGCAGAUAUCAGGAAGAACACCAAUGGCGAAGGCAGCUUGCUGGGACGUGACUGACGCUGAGACGCGAAAGCGUGGGGAGCAAACAGG